rnacentral:lncRNA from 1 species
CUUAUUUCCAGCCAGAAUGAUGUAGUAAGUCUCCAACACCACCAUCACAACAGUAAAGCCUUGCAGUCAGCUCCCUAUUUGGCAAGAAAAUAAUAAUAAGAAAAUGCAGCACGUGGGUUAAGAAAGCUAUCCCUCAUUCUGGGAGGAUUUACUGUCUUGGUGGCAGAAGCAUCUGAGAUAAUGGAGGUAGGAGUGGAGUAGUGAUGUGGCUCUUUCCUCACUAAGCUGCAUCUCACAUAGUGAACUCCACCAGGACCUGGGUGCUGUGGUGCACACGUGCCUUGGUUGCCUCUACAUGAAAUCAGCCCGUGUUCACUCACAUCUAGCAUCUCGAGAUCUGUGUGACAGGAAUGCGUCCACAUUUAUGGGUGUCGAAAAAUAACCACUACAUUUGCACUGUGUUUCUUGCCAGCAAGCUUGGCAGACCAAAUCCUGCUGCUCUGACCUGUCUGGGAGUCUGCAACCUGCAAAGUUACCUGUUCAGCUACCUGCACAGUCCAGGUCAGCCAGUGACGUAGCCUCAAUUAAAAGAUAUUACAAAACAAUGGAAGAAAAAAGCUUCCUAGUUCAAGGAAAAAAUGUUUCAUGUUCACCAAGGACUGUCAAAUACUUUGGAGAAGAACCUGAAGAAUGCCACUUUGUUUUCCUUUCAUUCUUUUCUUAUGAACAAGCAAAGGCAAAAAAAGCUACAGAGUUUGUAUUGUGAGGAACACCUUUGCAUUGUGCUGUGCAUGCCAAAUGUGGAAACUUCAGCACAAGCAAACAUGGAAUCACCUGUCACCCAUUUCUUUCAAGACAACCUGAGAGGAAACACAUGCCAAAUGAUCCUUCUUUGUAAGAUGAAAGAAAAAAAAAAUACACUGUGUGCUCCUAAAUGCUAUAAUUCAGAUUUUUAUUGUGCAACAAAAAGUGCUUUUGUAGAAAUAAAACCAUCACUACCACCAGAAGCCCAAAUAAAUGAAUGUGCUAUAAGUUUUUUUUUUUUUUUCCUGUGCAAAUUCACUAUGCCAGAUAGGGAAGAAAAAACUUAUAGGAAAGGAACAGGCUAUUUCAUACAGAGCCUGCACUUUCAACUCACAGAAGAAAAUUUUCUUUCAGAAAGGAGAAUUUUAUAUCUUAAAAAAUUAGAAAUGGAUUCAGGAAUAAGAUCAUGGAGUAGAACACUUUCAGUUUUCUUACAGAGCUGGACCAGGAAAUGUGAAAUGCAGAAUAGCACACAAGUAUUUUCACACCCAGUUACUCAACAGUUGUGGGAAUGUCUCCACUGGUGACAGUCUUCAGCCUCUUUGUAAGACCAUAUGUUUUUCAACAGCACCAACAAUCUCAGGUUUUUAAAGGAGAAAUAACAAUCCAGGACAGCAACUCGCAACUGUUUCUGGUAAGCAAGAAGUCA